GCGGCAGACGGGUGAGUAACACGUAGAUAACCUGCCCUCAAGACGGGGACAACCGGUGGAAACAGCGGCUAAUACCCGAUAUGCUCACAGGAUCGGGAGGUCGAGUGAGGAAAGGCUUCGGUGCUUGAGGAGGGAUCUGCGGCCCAUCAGCUAGUUGGUGAGGUAACGGCUCACCAAGGCGAAGACGGGUAGGGGGUGUGAGAGCAUGGCCCCCCACAAUGGGACUGAGACACGGCCCAUACUCCUAGGGGAGGCAGCAGCGGGGAAUAUUGCGCAAUGGACGGAAGUCAGACGCAGCGACGCCGCGUGGGUGAGGAAGGCCUUCGGGUUGUAAAGCCCUUUUCAGGGGAGCGAGAAAGGACGGUACCCUUGGAAUAAGCGUCGGCUAACUACGUGCCAGCAGCCGCGGUAAGACGUAGGACGCAAGCGUUAUCCGGAUUUACUGGGCGUAAAGCGCCUGUAGGCGGUCAAGUAAGUCGGAUGUGAAAGCCCCGUGCUCAACGCGGGGAAGCCAUUCGAUACUGCGUGACUAGAGAACGGCAGAGGGAAACGGAAUUUCUGGUGUAGCGGUAAAAUGCGCAGAGAUCAGAAAGAACACCGAUGGCGAAGGCAGUUUCCUAGGCCGCAUCUGACGCUGAGAGGCGAAAGCUAGGGGAGCAAACAGGAUUAGAGACUCUGGUAGUCCUAGCUGUAAACGAUGGAUGCUAGGUGUUGGCCGGAAAGGUCCGUGCCGUAGUUAACGCGAUAAGCAUACCGCCUGGGGAGUACGCCCGCAAGGCUUUAACUCUAACGAAUUGACGGGGACCCGCACAAGCAACGGAGCGUGUGGUUUAAUUCGAUGCUACACGCAGAACCUUACCUGGGCUUGACAUGUAGAUGGUAGUGAAGUGAAAACGGAGCGACCCUUCGGGGAGCCUACACAGGUGCUGCAUGGCUGUCGUCAGCUCGUGCCCUGAGGUGUCGGGUUAAGUCUCGUAACGAGCGCAACCCUUGUCCUUAGUUACAACGUGUCUAAGGAGACUGC
rnacentral:rRNA from 1 species